CAUGAAAAUUAUGAUGUCACCAGAAGUAGUACUGUACAUGAGCACCGUCACUGCCACACAGUGCUCCUCUCACUGACCACCAAUGAAAGAGGUGCCCCUUCCAGAAGUGUGGUGGGGGCUGGAUACAUGGCCUCAGGGGGCCACAUGUGGCCCACGGGCUGUAGUUUAGGUACCCCUGCUGUAGAGCAUACUCAUACAUUAGCUGGUUGUGAUCUCUUUACCCUGUGGUGAAGAGGACACUUUGAUUGUUCAUGGAUCUAGGACUGGGUGCAUUCAGAAGAACUCCAUGGAUUAUGUACUCAUACAGUAGGUGUCUUUUAGUUUUAUUGGAGGAAAAGUUUCAAGAGGAGCAAAAAUCUCUCCAUGUAUUUGCUAAUAUGUUUGGAGACAUUAUACAAGAUAAAUAAUUUCUUCACAGAUGGCUUAAUUUCCUCAUUACCCCAUGGGAAGUUUUGAGCUUACAAACAAU
rnacentral:lncRNA from 1 species